CCCAUGUGCAUAUGAUGAAACAAAAUGUUGGUAGGGACAUCUGAAUAGUUGUGAAGAAUGCCAACAUUUCUGAUCACAUGGG